UACGUAGGGGGCAAGCGUUGUCCGGAUUCAUUGGGCGUAAAGAGCUCGUAGGCGGUUCAGUAAGUCGGGUGUGAAAUCUCCGUGCUCAACACGGAGCGGCCACCUGAUACUGCUGUGACUCGAGUCCGGUAGGGGAGUGUGGAAUUCCCGGUGUAGCGGUGAAAUGCGCAGAUAUCGGGAGGAACACCGGUGGCGAAGGCGGGUCUCUGGGCCGAUACUGACGCUGAGGAGCGAAAGCGUGGGGAGCGAACAGG
rnacentral:rRNA from 1 species